GAGCACGCUGAUCAGGUCCCUCCGCAGUAAGGUUCACACGAAAGGGCAAUGCUUGUGUGGAUGGCUUGGAAGAAAUAUUCACAUAUUCUUUGCCUUAAUAUAAAAUACAUGCAAAAUUUGACAUGUUUUCUUUUCUCUCUUUCAAAUGUUUUAUUUAAUAUGUUUUAUUAUUAUGUUUCUCACCUUGGUGUAAACAUAGUGUUAACCAAUAGUCCUCGAUCACUGGUAAGACUGUUACAUUUAAAUAAAAGCAUCUUUUUAUGUUGAAAUCUUAAAAACAAGCCAGUAAAACUGCACUUAUUGUGUAUUGGUCACGCAUGUGUGUUUUUCCUGCUUCCUUAAUAUACGAAUGGCUUUACUUUUUGUUUCGGUGGCGAAUAAGCUAUUUACUUUUAGCCUCGUAGUGGUAAAAUACAAUAGUGAAACAUCAAUUAGCACCAUAAUGUUUUAUGGUAGUUACCAAAUUGCCCGUAGACAAUGUGUGUGUGAUUGACCUGUGAGUGUGCCCUACGAUGGCUUGGUGCCACAUCCUGGGUCCCUUUCUUGCAGUCAUAGUCUCCGGGAUAGGCUCCAGACCCCCAUGACCCUGAAUAGGACAAGCGGUUACAGAAAAUCGAUGGAUGGAUGGAUGGAUUGAUUGAUGGAUAGAUCUAAAAUCAUGCUAUGGUUAAUUGGAGAUACCAAAUUGUGUGUGUGUGAGACUGAGAGAGCCCUGCGAUUGGCUAGUGCCCCCUCCUGGGUUGUUCCCUGCCUUGUGCCCUGUGAUGGGUUGGUGCCCCAUCCUGGGUUGUUCCCUGCCUUGUGCCCUGUGAUGGGUUGGUGCCCCAUCCUGGGUUGUUCCCUGCCUUGUACCCUGUGAUGGGUUGGUGCCCCAUCCUGGGUUGUUCCCUGCCUUGUGCCUUGUGAUGGGUUGGUGCCCCAUCCUGGGUUGUUCCCUGCCUUGUGCCUUGUGAUGGGUUGGUGCCCCAUCCUGGGUUGUUCCCUGCCUUGUGCCUGUAUUCACUGGCAUCAGCUCUGGACCCCCCUGCGAUCCUGAAUACAAUUAGCAGUUACACAGUAGAAGACGGAUGGGUAAGUACUGGACACCAGUUUCUCACAGGAGUUGGUACGUUUAUAGUUAUGUGAAUUAGUGUUAAUAAAUUGCCUAUUGUGUGUGAGCGUGUUCUCUGUGGUAGAUUGGCAUCCUGUGCCCUGUAUUUCCCGGGACUGGUUACGAGCAGCCUUGUGUUAGAUAACUGUCUAUAAAGAUGGAUAAUUAAUAUUACCUUCUAUGAUCUCUGAAAAACAACGAAUUGUAUUUUCACACAAGAUCAUUAAAAUCAUUAAAACUCCACAACAUUGGCCCAGUUAUGCUGUAUAGGGGCCUAGAAGGUUUUUCUUUUUUUUUCUCAGUUUCAAAAAUUACACAACAUUCUUCCUGCCAGCCUGAGAAACUAAGGCCCAUCUUGACGAUUUCCGAAAAUAGAUUUCAGCAAAAGGUAAAGUGUUGUCAUGUGCACAUCUGGGCUCAGCUGGGUCCGCAGGAAAAAACAAGCAUGUGGUUUAUGAGCUGGGCGUAAAUUACCACUGUGUGAUUACGGGACGGGAAGUGAAAGCCAGCAGCUUUCCUAAAGCCUGUGUCCUGCUCAACUUUAAUGUGCAGAAACAAUGUAUAAGAGGUUAGGGCAAGGGUUUGAUGAGUGAAUUCUACAUUUCUCGGUACAUUCCUGUAUAUUAAUUACAUGCUUGACCUUUUCUUACAGCGUUCUUACAUGGCCUUUUAAUGCCAGGAUGCAUCUAUUUAAAACAUACCAGUCAAUAAUAUAUUAAAAUUCAUUGCUAACAGCGAGUACUUUAGUGGAUAAAAGUGUGUGACCAAAAUGUCAGUCCGGUUCCGAAAUAUGCCCUGAUUAAAUUAAUCCUGAUGUACUUAAACAUAAAUUUACUCUAGAGAAAUGUCUGUCUGGUAUAAAUGUGCACGCAGUUGUUAAUGAAAAAACAUUUUAUCAAACAUUAUAAUCAUAGUAAGUACAAGUGGAAAUGACUUCAGUAUGUGCAGGACUGAAAUUGUCAAGAUGAUUUUUAAAUUAUACCUUAUGAAACAUACAUACAAGCAUUUGAAGAGAACAGAGAACAAUCUAUUCUCACUUCAGGUCCACCUCAAAUGUGACUAAAAGCACGUGGAAGAAAAAAAAUACAGUUAGCUGAAGCAAUCUCUUCUGAACUUGGGUGAAAUCAGACAUUAACGGCAGACACUUUAAUGAUACGGUUAGAGCCAAGAAAAAAAUUCAUAUGAAUGAUUUGUGCAAGAUUGGAUAUUUGUGGUACUCUUUGGCAUGAACAGCACACGCAUACUUUCAUUAAAGUUAUUUAUCUGAUAGUCUACCUAUAUACAUGCUAAAUGGGACUAGGCUUGAGUAAUAGGAUGGUGUUAUCAAGAUUAAUAUUGCUUUAUGUGGCUUAGUCCAGCAUAGAAUGCAAAUGUAGAUGAUUAAGAUGCCGUGCAUGGUGAGGCACUCAAAGGAAGAGCCUCACGAUGUCAGGUUGGCGAAGCAUGAGUGUAACUGAGCCUGUAGUCAUAAAAAUGUACCUGGCAUUGAUUUUCACAUUGUUUCGGAGUGAGAAGACCUCAAUAAUUAUUGUUUUUGAGGACAAAAUAACAAUUAGGAAAAGCACAUAUGGUUAUUUAGCCCAUAGGUGUUGUUUUGCAGUGCCACAAAGUGGAAGAUUAAUGACUUUGUUGUGGUGUUUUGCCAGAUAUUUGCACCUUGUUCCUUAUGCCAGUGGCGCCAAAGCAUCAGACAGGCUGAGACAAACAAGUCAUCAGUGUGGUUUUACCUCCCCUUCACCUGGGUGUUGGCUAUCAGUUGGCAGUAUCACUUCCACGUACCGACUGCUUGUUAUUGUGGAAGCAGCACUCAUGUGUACUGUCUGGUCUUACAGUACUGGCAGUGCAGUUAUUAGAUAUGUUCAGUCAAACAAACAAAUAAAAAUGUUUAGUCGUGCCAUCAGUCCUGAUGUCAUGUCAAGUGCAAAUUAAGUAAUUUGCUGAUGCUGUAUUUUAUUGUAUGAUGGUAUUAUGGGUCGGGUCUUGGUUUGAUUGAGCCAAACUUAUUUUUUAAAGCUUUGACUGCAGCUUUGAUAUUAUAUUUAAAAAUCUUUGUUUAAUUCUCUAAAUAAGCUUAGUGUGGCUCUCCUGCAAAACACUUUCAUAUUCAGAGAGCGGGAAACUAUCUGCCUCAUAUUUUGUAUUAAAACAAACACGUUUCCUCAAGGUCCCACAAUGCUUUACUUGAUAAGUAGUAGGAAUGAGUGCAGCCCCAUAGCCAGAAAUACAUUUUAGUGGGGGUCCCAGAAACCCUGAGAUUUUCCUGCCCUGGAGAGGUUGGGGGCCUAACCUUUGUUAGCCGGGGGGAGGAAAGGAAUUUCAGGAGAGAUUCAAUUCUACAGUUUUACUACGUGGCUCCGUGUCUGGUAUGGAAUAAAUACAUUUUGGGGGGAUUCAAACCAUAAUUUUAUUACAUGGCUAAGUGCCUGUUCGGCUGGUUGGACAGAUAUUUGUUAAGCACUCCGUUACCAAUGUAAGCAUUUGAAUUUAAGGAGCAUUUGAAUUUCCGCCUGCGGAUGGAACCUACAGUCAUGCAUGCUUCCAAAUAAUCAUAUCUUAAUUCCAGUAAAAUGCACUGUUUUAUAAGUGUCUUAUUCAUGGGGGGGAAUGAACCUGCAAUUAAGCUCGGGGCAGAUAAGUCCUGCAUAACAUGGCCACAUCAGUCUGCCAACUUUUCUUUUUCUAAUGAGGGGUAAUUAGUUUAUUAGCAGAUUGUUUUACAAAAGGCAUACAGUACUUUUAUAGCUUUUUGUUGCUUGUGUGUUAUGUUACAUAACCUACAGCAUUCUUUAUUUGGGAAAGUUAGAUUAGCUUGAACUUUGCACAAGGACAGAGUGUAAGUGUAAGUGCUUCUCUUAUACCCACGUGGGACACCACAGAAUUAUUUCUCAUUUUUAUUGUUUAAGAGAAUGGCAUUAAGUUUAUGUUCUUUUUUUCCUGACUGUAUAUUUCACCUUGUAUUACCCAUCUUGAAUCCACUAUUGUUUCUACACUAUAAAACCAAAGCUGAAAGAGUCUUUUUUGCCAAAAUCGAUGGAUGGAUGGAUGGAUGGAUGGAUGGAUGCCAUUUCUCUGAGCAUAAAGCUUAGCCUAGCAAGCUUACAGAAUUAGUCCUGCAAUUGUUGUGAAGUAGGAUCUCGACAGUGAGGGUCUGUUUUGGUUAGAUAUUCACAGCAAUACAGUGGGUGUCUGAGUGCAUUUGCUGCACUGGCUCAUUCCCUACAGGAGCCUCUAUGACACAGGAAGUCAGUGUAACUGAUCACAGGUGCACAUGCAGCAAAUCGGCCAGUGGGAGUUUUCCAGUGAUACCCCCCUUAUUGAGGAGUGGCUGCAAAGCAAGCGUCAUGCUUUGCCGUCUGCGGAUGCAGCCCAUCCACCUCUCUGACAAGGAUCCUUCCUGUGCCCCCCUGCCUGCUCUGCUCAGGACACGGGGCGUUAAUCUGGCCCACAGUUGGCUGCAACUGUCUGUUGCAGAGUCUGCCCAGGCCAAUAAAGGGAAACACACUACAUUUUAGCGAGCAAAUUACGCACACCUGCAUCCAAGAGCCAUGUAAACCUUCAUCGGUAACAAUUUAUUUGUCAUAUAUAAUGCUUUAUACAUCAGUGGACCUUUAAGAAUUAAUAAAGCAUUAGAGCAUCUUCUGUUUUCAGUCAUAGGGCAGUAUUGUUGAUUAUAAUACUUCACAGGCUCCAGUGAAGCUGUCAUCUAUAAUGUACUAUAGAUACUUUCAUGAAGCAUUAUGGUGGUCAAAUAGAAAUUCAGGAAGCUUUGCACUGCAUUAUGAAGGAAUCUACAGUGCAUUAUAGAUGGGAGCUUCAUACAGCAUUCAUAAUGCAUAAUAAACAUGGCUAUAUUGUGUUGUGCCUUUUUAUAAAUAUGUAUAGCCAUUUUAUAAUGCUUUAUGAAUGCAUUAUAAUGCUUUAUGAUUGCAUUAAAAUAUGAUAGGAAUGUGUUCAUAGAUUGUAAUAGACAUGGCAUUUGAAAGAUUACCACUUCAUCUUACAAACACUUAUUCAUUAGAUUUUUUAAUUUUUUUAUGGUGACAUUGAACUAAUUUGAAUGCAAUUAUACUUACUCCCAAAGUGAAAUAAAACAAUUUUCACAAUGAUUCCCUAGCUGCCCUAGAGAAACCUAAAUCCGGAAGACUGUCUUCAGAUAAGCAAACUUUCUUCUACAGUAUAUCUGUUUUAGAAAUGUCACUUUGAAAGCCUCUACAAUAGUUGUCCGAUGUGACCAACUGAGGGAGCACUGCCCUUUUAGAGGAAGUGGAAGGGUGGGGUAUCAGAUUGUGUUUCCUGUGAAAAGGAACAGCAAAAUAAACUCCAGGUUCCGUUAGAUUACUCUCUAUGUGUGAAUGGUUUUUUUUCCUGGAUCCAGUCAUGUUGCCCAUUUGUAUAUUACAUAAUAAACUGAUGACAACAAAUUUGCAAACUAAUGCAAUAUAUGAUGGUUUCACAGGUAGGUAGCAUAAUAAGAAAUGAGUUGCUAAGCUAUUUGUACAUUACUGUAAUAACGUGCUAGUUGUCCUGACCAUAUUUAUGCUAAUAUCUGUCUUUGCCAGAUCACCUUUUGUCCUUAAUAUUUUCUGUGCCAGUUUCUUAUAUGCCAGUAUAUCUUUGGAAAUACAGAUUGUGGUUUAUCGGGUCAUUCACUCAGGCUUAGUCUCCCCUGCUCCCCUCUCCACUGUGAGUUAAUCCUCAAGCAAUGGCCCUACAGUGUAUCCUUACCUCAGUAUGUCUGUAGAUAGACAGUUAGAAUCUAGCCCCCAUGGAAGUAUAUCAUAUUGUGACCCCCCAACCCAAUUAUGUUCGAUCCAGUUAUGUUCCAUUCAGGGGCCCUUGGAACUCCCCCCUCCCAUGGCAGCUCUGGGUAUAAGUUUUCAUAAUUAAUAACUGGCUGAUUAGAUCAAAACCCUCUCACAAGUAAAAUGCAUGUUUACAUUUUAUGUCUGAAUUAGGCCUCCGUUAAUACAGCAGUAAUAAGCAAGGCAGCAUGCUGGGUUGGUGGCUAGUAUGUUCAGCGCACAGUCAUGAGUUUCAGAUUUAAUUUUUCACUUUCCUUUCAGGCACAAUCUGAGUGUCUGCUUGUAUUAUUGUAAUGCCUUUGUUUGCCAGGGGAGUCACUGUUCUCCUUAAUUUGCCAGUCACAGCAGGUGUUUCCCAGCACAAUUGAAUUUGCGGUCAGUGCAGUAGCCGGCAAGGGAACAAACCGGUCAAGCCCCAAGGCUAUACAUACUCCAAAUGUAUCUUCAUGCAAACAUAUUUAUAUUUGACCUCUUAAAUACUUAACUGCCCUAUGAAUUAGGUAUAUUUCAAUGUCCCUCCGUAGUUUUUGGUGCAGAGAGCUGGACGGGGAUAAUAAACCAUCUAAACCGUCCCUGUAUGCAGCAAAAUCUGCGUUCACCAACACACUAACAGUGCAGUGUAAAAUUAAACAUGCACAUAUCUGCCUUUAAAUAUCAUAAUUAAAUUACUCACUUGGCACUGUGGCCAGGUGCUGUUGGGUGAGAACAAAUAAUUUAACAGAACAAAAGGACUUAUAAUUAUUAUAGUAUAUAUAUAUAACAAUAUGUAUCUAAGCAAUAUGAUUAGUGUUACCAUCUCCAUGGAAAUACCAUAAAGAUCAUCUCCAUUCCCGCUGCUUCCACAGGAAUAUUUUUCCCCCAUUCCCACGGAGCCCUCUUUGUGGUGCCCAUAUAUCAAAAUGGUAAUAUGAUAAAGUGCAAAAGAUGGAUAUGCUACCUAUAAGAUGGGCAGAUGUGAAAAGUAGCAAAGUGAAUUUCUGCAUUGGCAAUACCUCUCAGGAAAACAAUGUGUCAAUCUUUACUUAGGUUAUGAACGUCUAAACAAGGCUGCAUUAUUUUUACUGAAGGUGCUGUGAGAAAGUGGGUGUGGCUAUUUGGGAACGUAUCAGGUGACCUGAGUUCUUUCUGACAAUUGGUUCCACCUGUCUCUCAUACAUGACAAACUUCACAAAGCUAGUCUUUCUUGUCCCAGUAAACCUAAGCAAAUCCUAACUCCUGACUCCAUUUAUUCUGGCUCUCUGGCAGAGACACAGGGCCCUGAGUUUGUCUUCCUUGCUGACAUGUUCAUUUAGUGUCCCUCUGUGUUGUUUAUACUCUGUCGCAGUCCAGUCACCCCCAGAGCAUUCUGCCCCGUAUCUUCGUGUUUCUGCCAGCCAUCUCAUCCUUCAAGGUUCUCACAGGUGCAUCACAAUAUCAUGCCUAUAAGGUCUGUGGCCUUAUAAACUCUUUCAGACUGUGUAGAAAAACAAAUUCUUUGUCUGCAUUCCAGACUAAUGAGUUAUGUCGAAUUUCUUGCUUUGCUAGAGAAACAAGGUGAUUUCUGCGUACUACGUAUUCCUGGUAAUGUGUGAAACCCAUCACUGGCUGUCAAUGCUGCCAGCUUUUAUAUGGAACUGAUAAUAUCACAUAUCACUGGAUGAAUAAGACUUCUUUGAGCAACAAGUAAGGCUAUUUUAAGGUUACAAAACUAUGUGUAUGUUCUUCGGUUUCGGUGCUAUUAUGGCUAAAUUCGCCAGCGUCCCUCUUGACGCAGCUGCUCCUAUGUAGCACAGCAUUUUUUUUUAUUUUUGGUGUUUUUUUGCAACUCCUUUGUGAAAUUGUUGUUGCUGUUGCCAGAGCAACCAGGCAAGGUGUGGCAAUGCAGAUAAUCACAGAACGCAAGCGAAAAAGAAAAUGAUUAUGAACUGACGGGCAACACCGUCAUUCCUAGUAUUACUCAUAUUUGUUGAAUAAGAAACCACGAUGGCAACAGUAACCAUGGCUUUUCGGCCACAACGACAAUGGUUAUACAAAUUGUGCACUAAGUCACACUGAUGGCAAAAAGAGACAAAUAUGGAGCUUCCAGUGCAGCAAAGAUGAGUGAGAAAUCAUUGCGUCCUUCCCCAUUUCCGAUACUCAGGCUGUGGGCCAAGGGGUUUUUCCUCUUUUUUCAGUGAUAUGAACUGGAUGGCUUAUUGACAGCCUGAAGGCUGGACCUUACUGUGCACUCUUUGCAGAGGGUGAGACAUAGUCACUGGCGAGCAUAAUAUAAAUAAACGUAAUGUGGUAGUUGAGGAAAUGGAACUGUAGCCAAAAGCAAGAGCACUACGUAGUUCAAAGAAGUUGAACUAGAGGAUGGAUGCCCAACUACCCUGAGAGGGAGGGAGGAUGGAUGGAUGGAUUUUAAAAUUAAUAAAAUAUUAAUGGCAAAUGACAGUAAAGAUUUUGAAUAUUAGACCAACUGAAGCUGUGAAAUCUUACAUUCGCUUGCUGGUAAAGUGAACUGCCCUUUAUGCUGUGGCUUUCCAUUCAGCCUUACAGGUACGUCUUUCUCUUGGUGACCUUGUACCUCUGUGCUGCACCUCCCUGCGCCAGUGCUGAGCUCACUGGAAUCACAGCUCUAUAUGUCACUCAUGCAGGAGCGCAGCCUGAAGCGGCCGACAGCACUGUGUCACAGUCUGCACUCGGUAAGGCUCCUCUACCAUGAUCACUUGAACUUUGACAUAUUACUGCGAAAGGGUGGCUCCUAAACAGCUGCAGGUGGAUCAUGACAAGUAAUUACUGUGUGACCUCAGUAAUGAUGGACUGUCUCUUACCAUUUAAGUCAGCAUCUGCAGAUUUCAGUAUACGCCCCAGCCUCUGGCCUGACUGGGCCUCUGUGUGUGCUAAAACCACUUUGAAACCAGUUUGAACCAGUCAAUACUGAGACAUCCCAUUAAACCCCAUGGCCAGGUCGUUUUCCUCAAAUUAAGCUUCCAUAGAGUUUGGCUUGCGAUUUUUACGAAAAUUUCCAAGUGUCCAUGUGAUGAGACAAUAUUUCGCUACCAUUGCAUAAUCUGAAAUAUGAUAUAACGUGAUUUAGCUUAUUCAUGGUGGAAUUCGAAGAAUGUACCUAUCCUUCUGACACACCUUUAAUGCUUUCCCUUCUGAAAGACUUCAAUAAUAAGCACAAUAAAUCACAGUGAGAUCACUGCUAAUGUUACAGAGGUGUGUAUCGAGUAACACAAUGUGAACAGGACAACAUGCAAAUACAACCCAAGCUAUUUCUGCUAUUUUUCUUCAAUGAUGUAGCAGACAGUAAUAUCCAAAGCAACACAUACUUAUAGAUGGCCUGGGGUUAGCGUACAGGAUCAAAUUACAUCCAACACCCUUGGAGCACUUAGGGUCAAGGGUCUUGAACAUGGGUACAGCGGUUAUAUGACUACUCAGAGGACGUGAACCCACAACCUUCCAGAGAUGGGCGCAGAUCUCCAACCAGCUGAAGACCAUCCCACCGACCUUCUAACGCACAACAAACUUGUCAUUGUGUCCAGGCUAACAUUCACAGAUGUGGCUCAUCAGAUUCGGAUGCUUCUCCAGAGAUCAAAAGGUUCAAAUCCUGUGAUUGGCAGUGUGAUCUUACUGCUGGGUCCUUCUCCCCAGUCACUCCAGGGACUUGCUGCCCCCUGCUAUCUCAACUGUAUGCCAUUUUGGAGAAAAGCUUCCACCAAAUAAAUAUAAUGUAUGUA